rnacentral:rRNA from 1 species
GUGGGGAAUUUUGGACAAUGGGCGCAAGCCUGAUCCAGCAAUGCCGCGUGUGUGAAGAAGGCCUUCGGGUUGUAAAGCACUUUUGGCAGGAAAGAAAUAGCGCGUGCUAAUACCAUGCGCGAAUGACGGUACCUGCAGAAUAAGCACCGGCUAAUUACGUGCCAGCAGCCGCGGUAAGACGUAGGGUGCAAGCGUUAAUCGGAAUUACUGGGCGUAAAGCGUGCGCAGGCGGUUUUGUAAGACAGGUGUGAAAUCCCCGGGCUCAACCUGGGAACUGCACUUGUGACUGCAAGGCUAGAGUGUGUCAGAGGGAGGUGGAAUUCCGCGUGUAGCAGUGAAAUGCGUAGAGAUGCGGAGGAACACCGAUGGCGAAGGCAGCCUCCUGGGAUAACACUGACGCUCAGGCACGAAAGCGUGGGGAGCAAACAGGAUUAGAUACCCGUGUAGUCC